GCGGCUGGGCGGGGUUCGCGGAUCGCAGCCAACUAGGAUAAAAGGUCUUGCGGCUCUGCCGUGGGACCGGAAGCUCGGCCCGUGAUGACAUUUUUUUUUUUCUCAGGCGGAAGUUCUCUGCGCCGCCUCCAGGAUCCGGGCGGGAGCGGGUUGUGUCUUUUCUGGGCUGCGUGUCCCAAGAGCCAAUGAGUACCUGCCUCGGGGGCCUGGACGGUCACGCGCCUUGGGGUCACUUCGAGGGCCCUGCCUUUUGUCACCCUCACAGCUCUGUCUUCUCGGAUCGCUUUCUGGUAAAAUGGGAGCGGGGUGGGGUGGGGACAUGAAAGCGUGACCCUGACGGAGUGCAUGGAUGCAGACCCCGCCGAGCUCUCCUCUGCUUAGGACACCUCACAAGAGUGGCGUCUGGGCCGGCCCUUGCAGGACUCAGGAAAGCAAACGACAGUGCUCCAGUCCCAACCAAGCUGCCAGGUCUGGCUGUAGAAUUUGUUCCGGGCGCUACGGACGGCACAUUUGUACUGCAUGUGAUGACCCGUUCUUACUGCAAGGAGGAGAGUGAGAGUAACAUGAAGAGGAAGUGGACGGGGUUAGAGAGAAAUCUGUUCUGUGAUGCCACCGUAGUACCUUUCCCUGGCAUUAUGACGUCUUUGUAAAUGGACUUACCAGCAAACACUAGCACAUCCGAGGAUGAAGCCAACUGAUGUCUCCAGAUCCAGACCUCCAACAGACCCGUAGCAGUGCUGUCCAUGGGAGUCACCCCUGCACCAUUGGCUUCUGAAAGCAUUCCAUAGUAGACUGGAUACAACAGCUGUCACUUUGGGGUACUAGACGAUUGAAUGAAACCUGGAAUGAAUGAAACCUGUGCUUUCUUUUCCUCUAUUAAUGGAUGAAGUGUGUUCCUUUCAAGGCAUAGGUGGAGACACAGGCAGUGGGAUUGUGGGUUACAAGAGUUUAUGUCUCUGAAUAAACUCAGCAUAUAACACAUCCAUUGCACAAGAGAAGCUUGAGGUACCAGUCCAACUUGAUGGAUCAGUGUACCUGGUAACACCCAGGACUGGGGCUCAGAUUGGCUGACUUUCACCUCACCCGGACCUGUAGUGACCUUUUGUUUCUUUGAUGACACAGCUUGAUGUGGAGUGCCAGGUUGUUGCUUCCCAACAGAACAUAUGUGAUCAAUUCAAUUCCGGAAUCUCAUGUUAAGGUCAUUCCCAAUACCAAUUGCUGAGUUAGGUACCAAGUGGAAUAAAUGACACCAUCUGUUGUGAAAUAUUACUUUAUACAAAGAUGUGUUACAUUUGUUUAUGCUGUGGGCUCUAACCAUGUAAAGAUAUGUUACAUUUGUUUAUGCU